GCCUGAAUGGUGCAGUGGUAGCAUUCGCACUUCGGGAUUUUCUCAUAAAAGUGAUUAUGAGUUGGCUUGAUUGUGCGAGGUCCUCGGUUCAAACCCGAGUUCAGGCC